UAUCAGGGCACAGUCACAAA
rnacentral:misc_RNA from 1 species